AGCUGCACCAGUCUGUAUCACAACCUUCUAGUCACCAAUGUAAAGCAGACGUCCAAACACACAGGAUUAUUAUUCCUUCACAAAGAUGAUGAAGUCAGUUGCGAUUGCCCUGGUUGUGAUCUUGGUCGUCAGCGUUGAAAGGGCGUUGUGUGAAGAUGACAGAACAGUUGUCCCUUGUGAUGACGAUAAACACUUCUGCUGGGCCCCUGACGACGAAUACAGCUGCACUGAUAACGGCAGAGAGCCUGGUGUGAAGUGCGCUAACGGUGGAGACUGUUGUGUGGUAGCAGACCCGUGCUCCUGGACCCAGUGCUGAGUUUAGACCGUGCGCAAUCAGUACGACUACUUGUUCACACACUGACUUGUGACGAUGACGUAUGCUUCCCAUCUAAGUAAACAUGAUGAUAUUAAAAAUAAUAUAACCAAUAAAAGAUUGAUAAUUACUUA